CACAUACUCCCUCAAUCCCAUAUUAAGUGUCAAAACAUUACAUGUAUCUAGACGCUUUUUAGGUAUAGAUACAUCCAUAAUUGAACAAUUUUGAGACACUUAAUAUGAGAUGGAGAGAGUACAAG
rnacentral:pre_miRNA from 1 species